rnacentral:rRNA from 1 species
CGGGACGGGUGAGUAAUGUCUGGGAAACUGCCUGAUGGAGGGGGGUAACUACUGGAAACGGUAGCUAAUACCGCAUAACGUCGCAAGACUAAAGAGGGGGACCUUCGGGCCUCUUGCCAUCGGAUGUGCCCAGAUGGGAUUAGCUAGUAGGUGGGGUAACGGCUCACCUAGGCGACGAUCCCUAGCUGGUCUGAGAGGAUGACCAGCCACACUGGAACUGAGACACGGUCCAG